rnacentral:lncRNA from 1 species
CGCAGCCGGGGGAAGCACCGCUGGGGCUGGGCGGGCGCCGGCCUCCCUCGCCUGGGGGGCGCCUCUGGGCUCUGCUGUGUCCCCAAGGACAUCCCUCCCGUGCAUCCCGCCCUGGGACUUGGCCUGCCACGCGCUGUCCCUUCAAGGGUCUCRGCCAUCUUGACCCACAGUGGUCCCGCGGCCGCGGAUGAACGGGAGCCGGACGCAGCUGGAGCCAACGCGUUAUCCCGCGGUGCUCGGGGGUGGACGAGCCCCCCGGCAGGACCUGGCGUGAGAGCGAGGGAGCGACAGCCGGGGCUGAGAUGCCGCAACGCCAGAGGAAGCCUAGCUCCGCGCCGCCCUCGGGCCGUGGAAAUAGCACCGUCUCCUGGGAUUUCUUGACGCUUUGCUGAAAUUAGCACCUGUAAAAAGAGCAGCUGCCAAAGCUGAAUUUAAAUAAGCCGGGCGGGCUGCUGGUAGGGAGAGGAGGGGAGCAGUGGAUGCUCGGUUGCCUCGAAAUGCCCCCCUUGGUGAAGGCACCUGUCUGGGAAUCAGCGCCUUGAGCUGUGCUCGAUGCCCAGCUAACUGGGCAACAAGCCCACAUCUGCCUGGGGGGGGCCAGACCCUGCGCCUGCCCCCCCAGGCCCAGGCCGGGACGUACCAGCACCGCUCCCCGUAGCUGGAGAUACCGGUAUUCGCAGGAGAAGCCUCCAGUGGUGCAAGAUGCAGCUGCGUGUGGCCAGCCGGCACCGGCCUCCCGUCGAGCACAGCCAGUCUUCUCCACGCGAUAGUGUGUCUCAAGCCACUCACGGUGUUAGGGAGCAUCGCAAACAGGCAACAGCAACCGGGGUGAUUCCCUUUUAAUUAGGGCAGCAGACGACACACGCAGCYCACCGUAAACAAGUGGGAAUUAAASGGCUCUUGCAGCAGGGACAGUGCAGUGGAGCAAAAAGGGGAGAUGGAGGUUUUCAGGAAGGGAACCAGGAGCUGGUAGGAAGCUCGGAUGAAAUCCAUAAGAGCUGCAGCAGAUGAGGCAUGAGGACAGGAGC